rnacentral:rRNA from 1 species
AUUGAAAGCUGGCGGCAGGCCUAACACAUGCAAGUCGCACGAGUGGCGGACGGGUGAGUAAUGUCUGGGAAACUGCCUGAUGGAGGGGGAUAACUACUGGAAACGGUAGCUAAUACCGCAUACCAUCGGAUGUGCCCAGAUGGGAUUAGCUAGUAGGUGGGGUAACGGCUCACCUAGGCGCAGAUCCUAGCUGGUCUGAGAGGAUGACAAGCCCGACUUGAACUUAUACACGGUCCAGACUCCUACGUGAGGCAGCGGUGGGGAAUAUUGCACAAUGGGCGCAAGCCUGGUGCAGCCAUGCCGCGUGUAUGAAGAAGGCCUUCGGGUUGUAAAGUACUUUCAGCGGGGAGGCGUUACCCGAAGAAGAAGCACCGGCUAACUCCGUGCCAGCAGCCGCGGUAAUUC